AUUGAACGCUGGCGGCAGGCCUAACACAUGCAAGUCGAGCGGAUGAAGGGAGCUUGCUCCUGGAUUCAGCGGCGGACGGGUGAGUAAUGCCUAGGAAUCUGCCUGGUAGUGGGGGAUAACGUCCGGAAACGGGCGCUAAUACCGCCUACGUCCUGAGGGAGAAAGUGGGGGAUCUUCGGACCUCACGCUAUCAGAUGAGCCUAGGCCGGAUUAGCUAGUUGGUGGGGUAAGGGCCUACCAAGCCGACGAUCCGUAACUGGUCUGAGAGGAUGAUCAGUCACACGAGAACUUAGACGCGGUCCAGAGUCCUGAGAGAGGCAGCAGUGGGGAAUAGUGGACAGUGGGCGAAAGCAUGGUCCAGCCAUGCCGCGUGUGUGGAGAAGGUCUUCGGAGUGUAAAGCACGUUAAGUUGGGGGAAAGGGCAGUAAGUUGAUACCUAGCUGGAUUGACGUUACCGGCAGAAGAAGCACCGGCUAACUACGUG
rnacentral:rRNA from 1 species